rnacentral:rRNA from 1 species
GAGUAACGCGUGGGUAACCUGCCUCAUACAGGGGGAUAACAGUUAGAAAUGGCUGCUAAUACCGCAUAAGCGCACAGCUUCGCAUGGAGCAGUGUGAAAAACUCUGGUGGUAUGAGAUGGACCCGCGUCUGAUUAGCUGGUUGGUAAGGUAACGGCUUACCAAGGCGACGAUCAGUAGCCGACCUGAGAGGGUGACCGGCCACAUUGGGACUGAGACACGGCCCAAACUCCUACGGGAGGCAGCAUG